rnacentral:rRNA from 1 species
AAUCAACGCUGGCGGCGUGCCUCAGACAUGCAAGUCGAACGCGAAAUCCCGAGCAAUCGGGAGAGUAGAGUGGCGCACGGGUGAGUAACACGUAGGUAAUCUACCUUCGGAUGGGGAAUAACAACCGGAAACGGUUGCUAAUACCGCAUAAUGCAGCGGCACCUAAUGGUGACAGUUGUUAAAGCGGGGGAUCGAAAGACCUCGCGUCUGAAGAGGAGCCUGCGGCGGAUUAGCUAGUUGGUAAGGUAAUGGCUUACCAAGGCAACGAUCCGUAACCGGCCUGAGAGGGGCGGUCGGU